UCCCAGGAGUCUCAGUGGUAAAGAAUCUGCCUGCAAUGCAGGACACCCGGGUUCCAUCCCUGGGUCGGGAG
rnacentral:tRNA from 1 species